rnacentral:rRNA from 1 species
AUUGAACGCUGGCGGCAGGCUUAACACAUGCAAGUCGAACGAGUGGCGGACGUGUGACUAAUGCCUGGGAAACUGUCCGAUGGAGGGGGAUUACUACUGGAAACGGUAGCCAAUACCGCAUACCAUCGGAUGUGCCUAGAUGGGAUUAGUUAGUAGGUGGGGUAACGGCGCAUCUAGGCGACGAUCCCUAGCUGGUCUGAGAGGAUGACCAGGCACACUGGAACUGAGAUGCGGUCCAGACUCCUACGGGAGGCGACGGAGGGGAGUGUAGCACAGUGGGAGCAGGCCUGAUGCAGCCAUGCCGCGUGUAUGAAAGAGGCCUGCGGGUUGUAGAGUACUUUCUGCUGGGAAGCGUUACCCGAAGAAGAAGGACCGGCUAACUCCGUGCCAGCAGCCGCGGUAAUUC